rnacentral:rRNA from 1 species
ACGUAGGGUGCAAGCGUUGUCCGGAAUUACUGGGUGUAAAGGGAGCGCAGGCGGACCGGCAAGUUGGAAGUGAAAACCAUGGGCUCAACCCGUGAAUUGCUUUCAAAACUGCUGGCCUUGAGUAGUGCAGAGGUAGGUGGAAUUCCCGGUGUAGCGGUGGAAUGCGUAGAUAUCGGGAGGAACACCAGUGGCGAAGGCGACCUACUGGGCACCAACUGACGCUGAGGCUCGAAAGCAUGGGUAGCAAACAG